rnacentral:lncRNA from 1 species
GGACAGAAUAAUCUGCCACAGCCUACUGAUAGCAGGCUGCAGAAGCAAACCUAGUUUUGGCGACAGGUGACUUCUGAUGGAAUGAAACUGUGGCCACCAGCAUCUGUAGUGGGAAACUAGAAAUAAGCAGUCAAGAGGGCCUGGACACCAGGUCAACGAAACGCUAAAGGGCGAAAGCCCUAUUCAUAAUUGUAUUCAAGAUGACUUGGAACACACGACGUUGUGGUUUCAGAUUUAUUAAUGGAUGGCGAUUAAUCUACUCUUGACCUCGACUUCUGCGGAAUUGAUUCUACUGCCAGCCAGGCCUCCUCUGCCUGACCCAAGGCUGAGCUCACAAUGACAGCAUCAGGUGUGACGGAUGCGGGUGGAGGAGACUCAGAUGAGAAGAUGAGCCCUUUCCAAAUCUCACCAUAAAUCUCCAAACUGCUGAAGUGCUGCCCACUCGUUACCUCGGUUACAGCCCACACACUCUGUCUCCUCACAGUCAUAGAUGCUCCUCAAUAAAACGAAGUUCAUUACUACUAAAGGAAUUUU